AAGGAAGUGUGCCCGAACGUCCAAAGGAAUACUUUGAUAGAGUACACCACAGGGGUUAAAAUCCCCUUACUUCC
rnacentral:tRNA from 1 species